UGAAACCCCAUCUCUAUUAAAAAUACAAAAAUUAGCUGGGUGUAGUGGGAGGUGCCUAUAGUCCCAGCUACUUGGGAGGCUGAGGAGGGAGAAUUACUUGAACCUGGGAGGCAG